GGAGGGUUCGCAUAGCGGCCUAGUGCGCCUGCUUGGAGAGCAGGUAUACCUUAACUGGUAUCGUGAGUUCAAAUCUCACACCCUCCG
rnacentral:tRNA from 1 species